rnacentral:misc_RNA from 1 species
GAUGAAGAACGAGCGAAAUGCGAUAAGUAGUGUGAAUUGCAGAAUUCAGUGAAUCAUCGAAUCUUUGAACGCACAUUGCGCCUCCUGGUAUUCCGGGAGGCAUGCCUGUUCGAGCGUCAUUAAAAUCACUCAAGCUUAGGUUUACCUAUUGCUUGGUCUUGGAGAUGGAAGCCAAUUUAUUGGAAUCCUCUUCGAAAUUCAAUGGCGAAGACCCUUGCUCUCCCAAGUGUAGUAAUAACUUAUGUCACUGAAGGAAGCGAGAAAUCUUCUGCCGUAACCCCCAUAUUUUCUAUGAUUGACCUCGGAUCAGGUAGGGAUACCCGCUGAACUUAAGCAUAUCAAUAAGCGGAGGA